rnacentral:rRNA from 1 species
GUUAGUGCAAUGGCAUAAGCCAGCUUGACUGCGAGCGUGACGGCGCGAGCAGGUGCGAAAGCAGGUCAUAGUGAUCCGGUGGUUCUGAAUGGAAGGGCCAUCGCUCAACGGAUAAAAGGUACUCCGGGGAUAACAGGCUGAUACCGCCCAAGAGUUCAUAUCGACGGCGGUGUUUGGCACCUCGAUGUCGGCUCAUCACAUCCUGGGGCUGAAGUAGGUCCCAAGGGUAUGGCUGUUCGCCAUUUAAAGUGGUACGCGAGCUGGGUUUAGAACGUCGUGAGACAGUUCGGUCCCUAUCUGCCGUGGGCGCUGGAGAACUGAGGGGGGCUGCUCCUAGUACGAGAGGACCGGAGUGGACGCAUCACUGGUGUUCGGGUUGUCAUGCCAAUGGCACUGCCCGGUAGCUAAAUGCGGAAGAGAUAAGUGCUGAAAGCAUCUAAGCACGAAACUUGCCCCGAGAUGAGUUCUCCCUGACCCUUUAAGGGUCCUGA